rnacentral:rRNA from 1 species
GCAUAUCAAUAAGCGGAGGAAAAAGAAACCAACAGGGAUUGCCUUAGUAAACGGCGAGUGAAGCGGCAACAGCUCAAAUUUGAAAUCUGGCCCUCGGGUCCGAAUUGUAAUUUGUAGAGGAUGAUUUUGGUGCGGUAUCUUCCGAGUUCCUUGGAACAGGACGCCUUAGAGGGUGAGAGCCCCGUACGGUUGAAUGCCUAGCCUCUGUAAAUCUCCUUCGACGAGUCGAGUAGUUUGGGAAUGCUGCUCUAAAUGGGAGGUAAAUUUCUUCUAAAGCUAAAUAUUGGCCAGAGACCGAUAGCGCACAAGUAGAGUGAUCGAAAGAUGAAAAGCACUUUGAAAAGAGGGUUAAAUAGCACGUGAAAUUGUUGAAAGGGAAGGAUUUGUGACCAGACUUUUUCUGGGCGGAUCAUCCGGGGUUCUCUCCGGUGCACUUUGCCCAGUAAAGGCCAGCAUCGAUUUUCGGCGGCGGAUAAAAGCAGUGGGAAUGUGGCUCCCCACGGGGAGUGUUAUAGCCCAUUGUAUAAUACGCUGCUGGGGAUCGAGGUACGCGCUUCUGCAAGGAUGCUGGCGUAAUGGUUAUCAAUCACCCGUCUUGAAACACGGACCAAGGAGUCGAACAUUUAUGCGAGUGUUUGGGUGUUAAACCCUCACGCGUAAUGAAAGUGAACGGAGGUGAGAGCCCGUACGGGUGCAUCAUCGACCGAUCCUGAAGUUUUCGGAUGGAUUUGAGUAAGAGCAUAACUGUUCGGACCCGAAAGAUGGUGAACUAUGCGUGGAUAGGGUGAAGCCAGAGGAAACUCUGGUGGAGGCUCGCAGCGGUUCUGACGUGCAAAUCGAUCGUCAAAUCUGCGCAUGGGGGGCGAAAGACUAAUCGAAACCAUCUAGUAGCUGGUUACCGCCGA